UACGUAGGGUGCAAGCGUUGUCCGGAAUUAUUGGGCGUAAAGAGCUCGUAGGCGGUUUGUCGCGUCUGCUGUGAAAACUGGGGGCUCAACCCCCAGCCUGCAGUGGGUACGGGCAGACUAGAGUGCGGUAGGGGAGAUUGGAAUUCCUGGUGUAGCGGUGGAAUGCGCAGAUAUCAGGAGGAACACCGAUGGCGAAGGCAGAUCUCUGGGCAUUACCUGACGCUGAGGAGCGAAAGCGUGGGGAGCGAACAGG
rnacentral:rRNA from 1 species